AAAUGAUGGGGUGCAAGCUCUUGACUGAAGUCCCAGUAAACGGCGGCCGUAACUAUAACGGUCCUAAGGUAGCGAAAUUCCUUGUCGGGUAAGUUCCGACCUGCACGAAUGGCGUAACGAUGGCCACACUGUCUCCUCCUGAGACUCAGCGAAGUUGAAGUGUUUGUGAUGAUGCAAUCUCCCCGCGGCUAGACGGAAAGACCCCAUGAACCUUUACUGUAGCUUUGCAUUGGACUUUGAACCGGUUUGUGUAGGAUAGGUGGGAGGCUUUGAAGUGGGAACGCCAGUUC
rnacentral:rRNA from 1 species